rnacentral:rRNA from 1 species
AUUGAACGCUGGCGGCAGGCCUAACACAUGCAAGUCGAACGAGCGGCGGACGGGUGAGUAAUGUAUGGGGAUCUGCCCGAUGGAGGGGGAUAACUACUGGAAACGGUGGCUAAUACCGCAUACCAUCGGAUGUACCCAGAUGGGAUUAGCUAGUAGGUGGGGUAAAGGCUCACCUAGGCGACGAUCCCUAGCUGGUCUGAGAGGAUGAUCAGCCACACUGGGACUGAGACACGGUCCAGACUCCUACGGGAGGCAGCAGUGGGGAAUAUUGCACAAUGGGCGCAAGCCUGAUGCAGCCAUGCCGCGUGUAUGAAGAAGGCCUUAGGGUUGUAAAGUACUUUCAGCGGGGAGGCGUUACCCGCAGAAGAAGCACCGGCUAACUCCGUGCCAGCAGCCGCGGUAAUUC